GUCGACGAUACCUUCGGGUAUAGUGGCGCACGGGUGAGUAACACGUGGGAAUAUACCUUUCAGUGGGGGAUAACAUCGGGAAACUGAUGCUAAUACCGCAUACGCCCUUAGGGGGAAAGAUUUAUCGCUGAAAGAUUAGCCCGCGUCCGAUUAGCUAGUUGGUGAGGUAAUGGCUCACCAAGGCGACGAUCGGUAGCUGGUCUGAGAGGAUGACCAGCCACACUGGGACUGAGACACGGCCCAGACUCCUACGGGAGGCAGCAGUGGGGAAUAUUGGACAAUGGGCGCAAGCCUGAUACAGCCAUGCCGCGUGAGUGAUGAAGGCCUUAGGGUUGUAAAGCUCUUUCGACGGGGACGAUGAUGACGGUACCCGUAGAAGAAGCCCCGGCUAACUUCGUGCCAGCAGCCGCGGUAAUACGAAGGGGGCUAGCGUUGUUCGGAAUUACUGGGCGUAAAGCGCACGCAGGCGGUUCGAUUAG
rnacentral:rRNA from 1 species